rnacentral:lncRNA from 1 species
UUACUGAAGUGAGAAAGAACGGGACUUGCCGUUGGUUAAGACCAGACGGGAAGACCCAAGUCACUGUUGAGUACUACAACGACAACGGCGCGAUGGUUCCGGUCCGUGUCCACACCGUCCUCAUCUCAACCCAGCACGAUGAGACCGUGACCAACGACGAGAUCGCACGUGACCUCAAGGAGCACGUGAUCAAGCCCAUCAUCCCGGAGAAGUACCUUGACGACAAAACCAUCUUCCACCUCAACCCAUCAGGCCGGUUCGUGAUCGGUGGACCGCACGGUGACGCCGGUUUAACCGGACGUAAGAUCAUCAUCGACACUUACGGAGGGUGGGGAGCUCACGG